CGACCUCUGCCUCCCUGGUUCAAGUGAUUCUUCUGUCUCAGCCUCCAGAGUAGCUGGGACUACAGGUGCAUGCCAUCACGCACGGUUAAUUUUUGUAUUUUUAGUAGAGAUGGGGUUUCACCAACUUUCUCCAUUUUAUUCUUCUGUUUCCUUCAAAUAGGAGCAAGGCCUAUUUGUCCUCCUGGAUUCCAGCUGCUGAAGCAAUUUCUUUUUCACAGAACCGGCAGUUUUGCGGCUCUUGUGAAAAUCCACCGUUUCUCCCCUGAAAUCCUGUGAAAUGGAGCUCGCCAGUGGAAGGACUGUGAAAGCAGCCUGGUUCUUGCAUCAUCUCCAUGAAAUUAGGCAGAUCAUAUUUUCAGCACUGCUAUCCUGAUUGCAUGUUUGUUUAAAAUGACAGUUGAUGUUGUGUAUCUCUUUCAUUAGGGAAGCUCAAUGAUCUUGACAUUAUUAACUAACUGCAGUACUUGCCGCAUAUAAACACUAAUCCGUAGAGACAUCUCAGAUAGUACUUGAAGAAAAACAAGGCACUUUGAGUGUGAGGAACCAACAGAAGGAUCUUGGCCAUAUGUAGAAUUUGACAGGUGCAUUAUCAGCUAUUCACAAGCAAGUCAUUUUCCACGAGGCCUAAACACCAAGGUACGGAGGGCAGACGUCAGCGUCUGGGUUCAAGCACUUAAUGGGGCCAGAUGAGGUGAAGGGGAGACUGGGGACUCCUGGAGGAGGAUGAAAGCCAGAGUAGAACCAAUGGGCUUUCUUUUCUCUUGUUCUCUGAGCCCUGGCUGCACUAAGCACUGAAUGCCAGGUAACAAGGCCGAUAGAAACAGGAAUUAUCCCUUUGUCUUCUAGAUGUUUUAAUUGCACGGGCACACUGAAGUCCUGAUUCCAAAUGAUCAGAAUUUGGUGGGCUAGGACAGCAGUCUCCAUCCUUUUUGGAACCAGGGACCGGUUUUCUGGAAGACAAGUUUUCCAUGGAUUUCGUUUGAUUCUCAUAAGGAGUGCACAACCUAGAUCCCUCAGAUGCGUAGUUCACAGUAGGGUUCACGCUCCCAUGAGAAUCUAAUGCUGCUGCUGAUCCGACAGGAGGCGGAGGUCAGGCGGUCAUGCUCACUGGCCGGCCACUCAUCUCCUGUUGUGCAGCCUGGUUCCUAACAGGCCACAGACCGGUAGGGCUUUGUGGCCUGGGGGCGUUGAGGACCCCUGGGCUAGGAGACCUGGAUAUGAUUUUGGUGUUUUCUCAU
rnacentral:lncRNA from 1 species